rnacentral:rRNA from 1 species
AUUGAACGCUGGCGGCAUGCCUUACACAUGCAAGUCGAACGGCAGCACGGGAGCAAUCCUGGUGGCGAGUGGCGAACGGGUGAGUAAUAUAUCGGAACGUGCCCAGUCGUGGGGGAUAACGUAGCGAAAGCUACGCUAAUACCGCAUACGAUCUAUGGAUGAAAGCGGGGGAUCGCAAGACCUCGCGCGAUUGGAGCGGCCGAUGUCGGAUUAGCUAGUUGGUAGGGUAAAGGCCUACCAAGGCGACGAUCCGUAGCGGGUCUGAGAGGAUGAUCCGCCACACUGGGACUGAGACACGGCCCAGACUCCUACGGGAGGCAGCAGUGGGGAAUUUUGGACAAUGGGCGAAAGCCUGAUCCAGCCAUGCCGCGU